CUGGUCUGAACAGAAGGAACGUUCCUGAAACCUACACAUUCUGAAGGCAUUUUCAGUCCAUUUAAAGAUUUUAAGCUCUUACAGCCAAGGCCUUUCUGGGAUGUAGGUGAUCCGUAUGUGCUGACAGCGCUCCCUGUCCUUUGAACUGAGGAAAUCUGGGAGGUCGUUCACCUGCACAGAGGCAGAGAGACGGAAACGGGAGCCACGUGUUUAUUUAUUCAGGGAGUUUCACUAACGGAGAUGGUCCAGGUGAGCAGCUGCAGCCAUGAUGAUGAUGUCAUGAUGUCAGAGGUCGACUCCAGCAGUAAUCCGUCACGUUAGCACAGACGGGAUUAUGCUAAGCGUCUGACAUAACAAGCUGUGGGAAUCACAGAUUGAGCUGCCGGCUUUCUUUAAGUUGUGUUGUACUAACAGCUCCUGCAGUGGGUCCAUCUGUUUAAAAAUAAUCUACGCUCAGCGGCUCGAAUCGCAUAAUCAGCUUCUAGUUGGAGUCUGAGAAUAGAUUUAUUUUUAGACCUGUUUGAUUACAUUGAUUGAAAUGUUUUUGAUGUGGGUUUAAUUGUAAUCCCAACUUUAUCUCUAAAUUAAAUGGGUUGCAGGACUUAAAAUAAACCAGGAAUUGGAAAAAUUAAACCACAGUUAGCUAAAAGAAGCUAACUACCGCUUGAUGUGGCUAAUGCCAGAAAAUGCAAAAUUUCAGAACCUCGUUCCAACUAUAAACCUCGAUUUGUGAACUUUGGAUCAGUUUGAAUGCAUAUGUGAACGCCAAGUGGACCAAAGACCGCUCCAAAAGCAGGAAGUGGACUACAGCGCAGGGCAUUCUGGGUAAAUACAACCUAAAGAAACACACUAACCUAAUGCUAGCAGGAGAAAUGGCUCAUGGUCUUCCAGGGCACUCUGUGUUUGUUUAUAUUUUGUGACAAAGGAAGUCAAACUCAGUGUUUUCAGAGGUUCUAGUGUCGUUUCCUUUAGUGGUUCUUGGCGCAGCGCCCCCACAGGCCAGGAGGGGAACAGGUUUCUCAAAGAGUUUGGUUUGUGAACGAGAAACACAGCAGCUGAAAAUAAAACAAAUGUUGCCUCUUUGGUUCACCAAUCGAAACGACUGGAUUGUCAUCACUUCUCCUCACUUUCGUCUCUUACUACUCUGCAGUUUUCAUUAUUUGCAUUAUUUCAAAUGUUAACUUAAUCUUUUGUCUUCUCCAAACCUCCAGUUGGGUAUUUCAGAGGCCGCUUGUACUGAGUCCGGUUCUGGUUCUGCUGGAGGUUUUUUCCUGUUAACGGGGAGUUUUUCCUCUCCACUGUCGCCCCUGCUGGUGCAAUUCAACGACUCAAUGCAAUCUGCUGAGUUUUCUGAUAACUAGGAUCCAUUGGAAUGUAUGGAUGAUUGAAUUGAAAUUAUUUUUUUAAGUGCUUCCAGACGACGUUCUUUGUCGUUUUAUUGUUUUAAAUUCAAUAAAGAACUGAAUUUAGACUUAAGCUUUAGAAACAUGUUUCUCUUGAACUUCAUCCAAAGAUUUUGUGCCAGGUCCAAUUUAAUUUGAGAGAAAAACACAAACCAUGAUGCUGCCACCACCAUGCAUACAGUGUGAAGUUAUUCACGUUGAAGUUGGGGACAUGAUCGUUGUGCGACGGCGUGUUGGGGCCA